CCCUGGUGGCUCAGAUGGUAAAGCUUCUGCCUGCAAUGCAGGAGACCUGGGUUCGAUCCCUGGGUCAGGGG
rnacentral:tRNA from 1 species